rfam:Tupaia chinensis contig65059, whole genome shotgun sequence.
GUGUUCUUUGAGGGAUGGGAAAGUCAGCACUCUUCUCUAUAAGCAUGGAGGAGGUCCCAGAGCCCAUGGGACAGACAUGACAAAGGCAGUGCCACCUGCUUUGUGGUGUCUUACUGUGGUUUUCC